rnacentral:rRNA from 1 species
AGGCGCGAAACCUUUACACUGCACGCACGUGCGAUAAGGGGACUCCGAGUGCGAGGGCAUAUCGUCCUCGCUUUCGUGUACCGUAGGGUGGUACACCAACAAGGGCUGGGCAAGACCGGUGCCAGCCGCCGCGGUAAUACCGGCAGCCCGAGUGAUGACCGAUCUUAUUGGGCCUAAAGCGUCCGUAGCUGGCUGCGCAAGUCCGUCGGGAAAUCCACUCGCCCAACGAGUGGGCGUCCGACGGAAACUGCACAGCUUGGGACCGGAAGGCUCGAAGGGUACGUGCGGGGUAGGAGUGAAAUCCCAUAAUCCCGCACGGACCACCGAUGGCGAAAGCACUUCGAGAAAACGGAUCCGACAGUGAGGGACGAAAGCCAGGGUCUCCAACCGGAUUAGAUACCCGGGUAGUCCUGGCCGUAAACAAUGUUCGCUAGGUAUGACACAGACUACGUGUCUCUGUUGUGCCGUAGGAAGCCGAGAAGCGACCG